UACGUAGGAUGCAAGCGUUGUCCGGAAUUAUUGGGCGUAAAGAGCGCGCAGGCGGUGUAUCAAGUCAGAUGUGAAAGAGGCCGGCUUAACCGGCAAGGGUCAUUUGAAACUGAUAGACUAGAGUGCAGCAGAGGAUAGUGGAAUUCCCGGUGUAGUGGUGAAAUGCGUAGAUAUCGGGGAGGAACACCAGUGGCGAAGGCGGCUAUCUGGGCUGCAACUGACGCUGAGGCGCGAAGGCUAGGGUAGCAAAC
rnacentral:rRNA from 1 species